rnacentral:lncRNA from 10 species
AGUGAGACUGACUGCGUCGGGGUUGAGACUGGGUGGAUGAGGCUCACCCCGGCGGGGAGAAGGGACGAGGAGGGGCGGACAGCGGAAGGUCCGGGAGUGUCCGCCAUAAAGUCGUUUGAGGUGACCGUUGCGUAAUUGUGAGUCUGUGAGAGAAGAUGUGAAGUAUGGCCUCGUCCCGGUCAUCUGGGCGUGCGGGUCCCGGGUUUUGAUCGCGCGUUUGUGUAGUUUUAACUUCUAGUCAUGGCGAAUGAUCGCAGGAGAGCACAGACUGGACCCUGCUACGAUCUCUCUUGGAGUGGAUCAGACUGAUGAUCACCAACAACCAACUCAUUCCCGGAUAAGGAAGAAGAGAGUGUCACCUACUUCAGUGUGGUUUCAACCCUACUUCUGCAUCUUAAAGACACUGUGUACAACGUUGGACACUGUGCAGGAUGAUGCCACUUCAUCUUGGAUGCUAAUCUGCCAUGUUGACUUCUGAUUAACCCCAGGCCCAGGAAUGCCUCAAGAUUUCUACUUUACUUACUGUUGCUUGUAAUAAAAGAAAUGACAGCCACCAUAGAGGAACUAGCCAAAGUUAAU